UCCCUGGUGGUCUAGUGGUUAAGACUUUGCACUUCCAUUACAGGAGGCACUGGUUUGAUUCCUAGUCAGGGAA
rnacentral:tRNA from 1 species